rnacentral:rRNA from 1 species
ACUCAAAUGAAUAGACGGGGGCCCGCACAAGCGGUGGAGCAUGUGGUUUAAUUCGACGCAACGCGAAGAACCUUACCCAGGCUCGAAAUGUAGGUGACAGGCGGUGAAAGCCGCUUUCCGCAAGGACACCUGUAUAGGUGCUGCAUGGCUGUCGUCAGCUCGUGUCGUGAGAUGUUGGGUUAAGUCCCGCAACGAGCGCAACCCUUAUCUGCUGUUGCCAUCAGGUUAUGCUGGGCACUCUGCGGAGACUGCCGGUGAUAAACCGGAGGAAGGUGGGGAUGACGUCAAGUCAGCAUGGCCUUUAUGUCUGGGGCUACACACGUGCUACAAUGGCCGGUACAAAGCGUCGCGAUCCCGCGAGGGGGAGCUAAUCGCAGAAAGCCGGUCUCAGUUCGGAUUGUAGGCUGCAACUCGCCUGCAUGAAGUUGGAAUCGCUAGUAAUCGCAGAUCAGCAGGCUGCGGUGAAUACGUUCCCGGGCCUUGUACACACCGCCCGU